AUUGAACGCUGGCGGCAUGCCUUACACAUGCAAGUCGAACGGCAGCACGGGUGCUUGCACCUGGUGGCGAGUGGCGAACGGGUGUGUAAUACAUCGGAACGUACCUUAUCGUGGGGGAUAACGCAGCGAAAGUUGCGCUAAUACCGCAUACGCCCUGAGGGGGAAAGCGGGGGACCGUAAGGCCUCGCGCGAUUAGAGCGGCCGAUGUCUGAUUAGCUUGUUGGUGAGGUAAAAGCUCACCAAGGCGAUGAUCAGUAGCUGGUCUGAGAGGACGAUCAGCCACACUGGGACUGAGACACGGCCCAGACUCCUACGGGAGGCAGCAGUGGGGAAUUUUGGACAAUGGGGGCAACCCUGAUCCAGCAAUGCCGCGUGAGUGAAGAAGGCCUUCGGGUUGUAAAGCUCUUUUGUCAGGGAAGAAACAGCAGCUCUAACACAGUCUGCGAAUGACGGUACCUGAAGAAUAAGCACCGGCUAACUACGUGCCAGCAGCCGCAGUAA
rnacentral:rRNA from 1 species